rnacentral:rRNA from 1 species
UACAGGGGGUGCAAACGUUGCUCGGAAUCACUGGGCGUAAAGCGCACGUAGGCGGCUUCUUAAGUCAGGGGUGAAAUCCUGGAGCUCAACUCCAGAACUGCCUUUGAUACUGAGGAGCUUGAGUCCGGGAGAGGUGAGUGGAACUGCGAGUGUAGAGGUGAAAUUCGUAGAUAUUCGCAAGAACACCAGUGGCGAAGGCGGCUCACUGGCCCGGUACUGACGCUGAGGUGCGAAAGCGUGGGAG